CCGUCUGUUCAUAUGUUAGCCGUUUCAUAUAUGCAUUAUCUGCUACCCACAUCAUUUCCUUCUUCACAUUAGACCCUUCAAUCUGGAUCCCUUCUCCACCGCCCCUUCGUGAAUUCGUCUCUCCCUCUCACCAGGUAUGUUUCUUCCUCUUUCUUUUGUAAUCUUAUGAGCAAAAAUAUUUUAUGUUUGUUAGGAUUUCGACCCGAUUAAGCAACGAAUAAGAAAAUAGUGAAAUAAAUUGAGAAAUUGAAUACACAAAUUUAACGUGAAAAAAUCUUUCCAAAGAGAAUAAAAAACCACGGGUAAAGAUAAUUUUACUAUAAUAACAAAAGAACGAAGAGUACAAAAGAUGGAGAUUAAGACUAAACCCCGAAAACCCGAAAACAAAGAACCCUCAAAACGUAAACACAAAAUUCUCUAAAUGUGUUAUGAGUUCUAAUCUCUAAUGAGUGUAUUUUUCUAAGGUUGUAAAAGAGCAUAUUUAUAGGCUAAAUUUAUAGGUCAAAUAAUAAUAAAAUAAUCUAAACUAAUCAGUAUUUGAUUGAAAUAAGUAAACAAAGUUUAACUAAAAGAUUAUUUCUCAAAUUUGACUAAAAAUAGGAGUCAUAUUUAACAAAUCUCCACCUUGACUCAUAUUUCCACAACGCCAUCUUUACCAAAGCUCGCCACGAGCCUAUCUUGAACUAUGCAGGGAAUUAACUGAGUCGAAUUUGUGCUUAGAAACUGGAAGACUUCUAGCCUUCGACUUGUACAUUGCCAAAUAAAAACUAACCCGAGUUUGAUUUUCACGAACACAGUGCCUUAACUUUUCAAAACCUGCAUCUAAAAGAGAACCUCUCUUCAACGAAAUAGUCAUAUCUUUUUCCCUCCUAUAACCAAGUUGCCUCCGCUCCAAACAAGUUGACUUCAACUCCGUAACGGACGAGGGAUGUCCGAUUUCACCGGUCACUGUAUAACCUUCCAGAAUAUAAAGGCUGUCGGUUCUUUUACCUUUUAACAAAACGAGAGCUCCACGAGAUACUUUAAUGCCGCUCGACUCAAUGUUGAUUUUGCAUCCUUUCAAGUCUAAAAUACUUAAAGAGAUGAGAUUCUUUCGUAAAUCAGGUACAUACCUGACAUUUGAGAGUGUCCUAAUCGUCCCAUCUGCAUCUUAAUUUUAACAGUACCAAUACCAAUUACCUUACUAGAUGAAUCGUUUCCCAUGCGCACAACUCCACCUUCAAUCAAAUUGUACGUGGAGAACCAUUCUCUAUUGGGACACAUGUGGAAAGAACAUCCUGAAUUUAGGAUCCACUCGGACGUGAGCUUGGUGUUAUCGCUUGUUGACACUAACAAGAAAUCAUCACCGCUUUCAUCGGCCAAAUUAGCACCAUCCACAUCUUCCUCGUUACUCUCAGCAGCUCUUUUAUUUCACAGUUUAUAACAAAAUUGCUUUGACGUGACCUAACUUUUUUACAAUAGCGAUACCUUUUGUCUCGUUUCUUUGAUGCUACCAAAACGGAAGGUUGCCUAUCUGCCUUACUAUCCAAACCAAACUCAUUUUCGAGUUUUUCUCUACUCAACAAAUGACCCUUCACAUCUUCGAAUGAGAGUUUGUCUCUGCCAUAAAUCAGGGUCUCCCUGAAAGACUUAUAUGAAGGGGGUAAAGAGCACAAUAAUAGCAUAGCCUGAUCUUCAUCGUCAAUAUGAACCUCAACAUUCUUUAAAUCAUUUAAAAGAGUAAUAAAUUAACUGAUGUGAUCUCUAAGAAGCUCACAUUCGUUCAUGCGAAACGUAAAUAGAUGUUGUUUCAACAGUAAACGAUUAGCCAGAGACUUAGUCGCAUAAAGAGUUUCUAACCUUUUCCACAAGGCGGAUGACGUUUUUUCCAUCUAUACCUCUUGCAAUACCGUAUUCGCGAGGCAUAAUUGGAUUGCAGAUAAAGCCUUUUCAUCAAGUUCUUCCCAUUUUGUUUUAUUUAGAUUCUCAGGCUUUUUCCCGGUAGCAACCUUUUUCAAGCCUGAUUGAACUAGAAUUACCAUCAUCCGAACUUGCUACAGAUUGAAAUUUGUCUCACCAUAGAACUUCUCAAUUUCAAACCUUAUUGUUGAUAUCUCUAAAAGGGCUGAUUUAUGAAAAUUGAACUAGCUCUGAUACCACUUGUUAGGAUUUGGACCCGAUUAAGCAACAAACAAGAAAAUAGCGGAAUAAAUUAAGAAAUUGAACACACAAAUUUAAGGUGCAAAAACCCCUCCAAAGAGGAUAAAAAACCACGGGCAAAGAUAAUUUUACUAUAAUGGAAAAAUAAUGAAAAGUACAAAAGAUGGAGAUUAAGACUAAACCCCGAAAACCCGAAAACAAAGAACCCUCAAAACGGAAACACAAAAUUCUCUAAAUGUGUUAUGAGUUCUAAUCUCUAAUGGGUGUAUUUUUUUAAGGUUCUAAAAGAGACUAUUUAUAAGCUAUAUUCAUAGGUCAAAUAAUAAUAAAAUAAUCUAAACUAAUCAGUGUUUGAUUGAAACAAGUAAACAGAGUUUAACUGAAAGAUUAUUUCUCAAAUUUGACUGGAAAUAGGAGUCAUAUUUAACAAUGUUCUAUUUAUAAACUGGAAUCUAAUAUCUCUAAAUUGAGUUAUCUUAUUAUGGAUGUUGUUAAUAAUCGCUCCUAUGGCUGAUUUAUCUCUCUUCAUGGCUUGACAUUUCUUGAUGAUUGUUCGAGAAUCCCCCAUAACCGUUACUGAAGGAAGAUCCAUUUCACUUCCUAGUUUUAACGCUUGUAGGCCUGCAAGGGCUUCAGCAGCAAAUUGAGACAGAACAUUCCUAUGCAGAACAGUCUUCGUCACCAUGAGUUUUCCUCCUCUGCCCCAAACAAUCAGGCCGGAUGCCGACUUAAAGUUCUUGUUAUCAAAGGCUGCAUCAAACUGAAUUGUCACUCUAGUAUAGCCUUCUUGACGCCUGUGACUGCUACUCGAGUUUAAGGUACUUUCUCUCAUCCUCAGCCCUUUAGUUUCAACUAUGUACUUUCAAACUUUGAGCGAUAACUCCCUCCUUGUUUCUACUUUCUGUUCAUGUAUGAGUUUAUUCCUUGAGCGCCAAAUAAACCACAUGCCACAAUAGGAUAUUUUACACUACUUAGAUGUACUCAAUCUGAAAACCCAGGUAAUCCACUCCCAAAAUCCUUGAGUCGAAAUUUCACAGAUCCACGACAGGUCUAACAAUUGCCAUGUUUCAACUGUUACAGGGCAAUACCGAAAGAUGUGGGUGAUAUCUUCUUCCUCCUUUCCACAGCAAGGACAUGUCACGUUAUUAGUCAUCCGUUUAUAUUUUAAAUUAACUAGAGAUGGAAUAUAGUUCCAAGAUAUUCUCCAUGUUGUUAUUGCAAUCUUGGCAGGUAGUUGUAGAUUCUAUAGCUUAUUGUAGAAAUCCUUUAGAUCGGUCUGUAUUAAAUAAAAUUUAAGAUCCAAUUGAGCAUCUUGUAAUAGUUUGUAAGGGCUCCGUACUGAAAAUUCACCAGAUUGCUCUCCUUUCCACACUUGAAAAUCCUCAUGAGGUGUUUCCGCCAGGGGGAUCCGCAAAAUUUUUU
rnacentral:lncRNA from 1 species